rnacentral:rRNA from 1 species
CACGCAAAGAUGCAAUGGCAAGAGAGCAGAAAUUAAACAAGGUCAAUCAAAAGACAUUUGAUUGAUAGAAUACAAGACAGUAUAAAACUUUGUGAAUAAAAUUGAGUGCGGGAUAGUGGCGGACGGGUGAGUAACGCGUGAAUAAUCUGCCCCAUACAGGGGGAUAGCCUCGGGAAACCGGGAUUAAAACCGCAUAACACUUUAUCACCGCAUGGUGAUGAAGUCAAAUCGAUUAAGAGGUAUGGGAUGAGUUCGCGUCUGAUUAGCUAGUUGGCGGGGUAAAGGCCCACCAAGGCGACGAUCAGUAGCCGGCCUGAGAGGGUGACCGGCCACACUGGAACUGAGACACGGUCCAGACUCCUACGGGAGGCAGCAGUGGGGAAUAUUGCACAAUGGGGGAAACCCUGAUGCAGCGACGCCGCGUGAGUGAAGAAGGUCUUCGGAUCGUAAAACUCUGUCCUUGGUGACGAAGGAAGUGACGGUAACCAAGGAGGAAGCCCCGGCUAACUACGUG